CCUACGGGAGGCAGCAGUUGGGAAUUUUGCGCAAUGGACGAAAGUCUGACGCAGCGACGCCGCGUGGAGGAUGAAGGUUUUCGGAUCGUAAACUCCUUUUGAUGGGGAGUAAUUUGUGAAAGUACCCAUCGAAUAAGCACCGGCUAACUCCGUGCCAGCAGCCGCGGUAAUACGGAGGGUGCAAACGUUGUCCGGAAUCACUGGGCGUAAAGCGCAUGUAGGUGGCUUUGUAAGUCAUGAAUGAAAGACCGACGCCUAACGUCGGAACCGUUCUUGAUACUGCAUCGCUAGAGAAUGGCAGGGGUAUGCGGAACUUUGAGUGUAGGAGUGAAAUCCGUAGAUAUUCAAAGGAACACCAAUGGCGAAGGCAGCAUACUGGGCUUUUUCUGACACUGAGAUGCGAAAGCGUGGGGAGCGAACGGGGAUUAGAUACCCCGGUAGUCCACGCCGUAAACGAUGCCGACUAGCUCUUGGAGGGUAUCGACCCCCUUUUGGAGCGAAGCUAACGCGUUAAGUCGGCCGCCUGGGGAGUACGAGCGCGAGACGUAAACGUACAAAUAGAAGUUGUAACGGUCGUGAGACGUGCCGAAGGACGACGACGAGGGGAGGUUAGGG
rnacentral:rRNA from 1 species